GGCGGUGAUUCCGGCCCCGACGGAGGGCAUGCGCUAUCCAUUGCUCGCGGAUGCACUCCACAGCCUACCCCCGCCUGCUCGCCGGUGGGGCGCCCAAGGCCCAAGCCUACCUCCACCUCCCCCCGCCUCCCUCGUCAGCUACGCCCUGACCCUCGCUCUUCUGGAGGCGGCUGCGAAUCGCGGGCAUAAGUGAAUCCAAAGCACGCCCUGACCCUCGCUGCUGCCAUCCGUCUCCUUGCAUUAAUCAUACAUCUGUGUGGUGAUGUCUCAGUCACCGCACGGAAGGUGUUUGACAAAAUGACCAAGUAAUAUAAGAGUGGUUUUCACAAUACUACGCCGAGUCAGCUCCACCUUCAUGGCGCGCACAUUCUGCUGUGCCGAUUUGCUGGGAAGGACACCUCGGCCUGCUACAAGAAAGCAACGACGCCAUCUGCGUAACAUAACGACAGACGUCCCCACAAAUUUCAGCACACAGACACAGGACAUGGGCGGUUCAGGCUCCUAACCUUCCCAUUGUUUCAUGACCAAACCAUCUCAAGGUAAAGCAAGACAGGCAACUCACCAAGCACUCACAGGAGAUGUUGUAUCACAGACUUAGCUUGGUGAGGUCACGAAACAAGGCAACAAUUUAGGUAAUGGGGCCAAGUUGGAGUUGCCUUGUAGCUUGAGCGAGCUGAGGCUGAUUGGGACAACAUGCAGAAUGAUACUCUGCUUGAUAAAUGUCUUGAAGUUUUCAUCAGCUACAGUUUUCUUUCCUGAAACUUUUUGUACGAGUAUAACACUAGAUCAAGUAUGUUUCCAAAAUGUUCCAGAAUUUUGUGACCUUUUUUUUGCAAUUUCUAAAUUAUUCUUUCAGUUCAGGUGCAUUGGAACCUGAGACCCAUUGGGUAUUUUCAGUAUCGGUUGCUUUUGAGUACCGCAUAGGAGUAAUUUACCACGUGACAAAUGUCUGCAUUUAGGAGAGAGAGGGAUAAAUGCAUGAUAUGGACUGGCCAAGCAACUGAGAGUGAUUCAGAUAAAUGGGAGGAGUAAAAUGCAGUGAAGCA